CACGACUCAGUCCUCCAUGUGGCAGCAUGGAGUUUUCCUGCCUUUGAUCCUUUCUUGUGGUUUGACACUUACCCUGCUCCCUCUGGGGUCCAGGCUAGUGAAAAACUAAGCUGAUAAGAGGGGAUCUUUGUUAAAAUGGAGAAAACAGACAGGGAAUCUGUGCAGUUAGGAUCCUGGAAGGAAAUGGGUGGGAUCGUUCAGGAGAGUGUCGUGAGAGACCGUUUCCAAGGGUGUGAGAUGGGUAAGGGGAACCACCAACAAUGGUGGAGGUCAUUACCAAACACAGGCCAGAAGGGCAGGGAGAACGCUGGUGACCAGCACCCGGAAGCCGCUGACAGUGUGGGCUUUGGAAGACGAACACAGCAAUUGGGAGGAGAUGAUCCAGGUGCUUGUCCUUGACGGUGUCUGUCUCCACGGAGGAUAGUGGAUUCUGGAGCCAGGAAGAAAGAGAAUGAUAUUAGCAAUGAAAGCAACUGGUCAUGCCGAUGAAAUGUGUACAAGUGAAACCUGAACCACAUUGGAUACGUAGCUGCUCAUGGAGACAUCCCAUAAAAAGUCUAAUUGGUGGAAUCCGCAAAUUGACAAGAGACCUUGCAAAUAUUAGUGGAAAAUAUCUGGACUACUAAUUCAGCCUGCAAAAGGGAGAAUAUAUUUGAAUGAAAAUAGCACUCACUGGAGACAUCCAUCCUCCAUAAUAUCCACACAUAGUCUCAACAAGGAGCCUGAUUUUGGAAUGGGCGUGUGAUAGAAUUCUGGCCGGUGAGAUGUUGUGGGAUGUCAGCUGGGAUACAUAAAGCACGCAAGGAAAAUAUUGUCUCUCCUGACCUUUAGAUGUUGUGUGAAGAGGUGAUACUGGGAGCUGCUGCAACCAUCUUGCAACCACAAGGAGACAAACUUGAGGACAAAAGAGAUUGGAAUGCACCACUGGAUGAGACAAACAGAUGGCGUGGAUCAGAGAUUUUCCACUUUCUACCGAGAAAUUUGAAAAGACGGGGGAAAAUUAGAAUCACCAUUCAAGGACAGAAAACUUCCAGAUUCCUUAUCAGUUAAAAUCAUUAUCUGAAGCAACAGUUGCUCUCCAAGUACAAAAUUAUGUUUUAUUUAAGAUAAUUCAUUUUCACUUUCUGUAGUGUUCAAAUAAUUCUCCCAAGGAUAAAAGUGAAAAUUAUAUAAUCAAGGAAGCAACUGAAAUUUUGUGAUGUGGACUAUAGCACUUUCUUUACAGUAGUCAUCAGACCUAUUUCUAAGUAGUUUGUCUGAGAUGUGGAUGUUUAAUUAUAUUCGCAAACUUCUCUUAACAGCGCUGUUGAUAUAAAGACUAGGAGCCCCCAAACAACUUUUGUCAAAUUAUUUGAGUCCCAGAAUUUUCAGGGCCUUUUUCAUUCUAUAUCUUAGAAAUGAUGCAUUUGGGCAAAGGGAGAAUACAGCAUCAUACUUAUUAUUUUAAGUUUUACUUGCUAGAACGCAGUGUCAUUAUCCU
rnacentral:lncRNA from 1 species